GCUCCCGGCCCGGGCUCGGCGCGCUCCCGGCCGGCACAGCGGCCUCACAUGGACACCGGGCCUGGGGCUGCAAAGGCAAAAAUAACCGGUUAAUAUCUGUCUGACCCCUCUUUUUCUGUUAAAUGUCUUGGCUGUCUUGAGCUCUGCUCUAGAGCCCCCUUACUUCGGUGUUGUAUUUUUUUUUUGGGGGAAUAUUUCCCUGUUCUGUGUACCUUAGAGCACGCCAAGCAGCCACGUUUUGGGGGAAGGAUUUACAUGAAUUCCCUCAUUGCCCAUAGUUCUAUCAUGGACAUGGGAGUGUGGCACAGCUGCCCUGGUGUGCAGCCACAGCUCCCAGGGACUUGCUGGUGUAAGUGAUGACUGAAUUUUUUCCCCAUCAGAGCGACAGUGUUGAUUUCUUUGCUCUUCAAGCCAGAUCAUGUCUGAUGCACCAGCAGGGAAGUGCUGCUGUGUCCUACAGCCUGGUGUUUACCAAAUGCCCAAAAUAUUGGAGUGAUAAUUUUAAUACUGGAAUAUUAAAAUAUUGAUGGUUCCCUUUGGCUUUAUCCCCAGGGCACUGUGAAGGCAGGAGUUGAGGGGCUGAGCCUUGGGGAGACCUGAAGUUAAGGCUGCAGCUGACAAUGAAGAAGUGUGUGAUGUGGGCAGCUGUCUGCUCUGCUCCACCAUGCCUGAACCUCUAGCAAGUAAUAAGUCUUUGAAGGUACUGUGAAGGCAGGAGUUGAGGGGCUGAGCCUUGGAUAGACCUGAAGUUAGGGCUGCAGCUGACAGUGAAGAGGUGAUGAGGACAUUGUCUGGUUUGCUCCACCAUGUGCCCCUUUGUCAGGGGAGGAUGGUUGAGGUUGAUGAAAAGUUGUCCUGGGCCCUGCUGGAGUGCAGUGUUGUUCUGCUAAAGAAGAUGGAUGGUGCUGCUGCUCCCAUGCUGCUGCCACGGCAUUCCCAUCAGCCUGCAGCGGCUCUGACCUUCCCCCAGAGUUGUCAGGAGUGAUAAAUUUGUGUCCUGCCAACUUAAA